GGUAUGGUUUUCGAUCUCCUUUAAAGGCGGUCACACAAUCGGAGGUCAAUCAAGAAUUGGAAAGACAAGAGGUUGAAGAAAUGUUAGAUGAUUGUAUUAAAAUGUAUGCCCUUAAACAGGUUCCCUCUGAGAAAAUAUGCAUUGAGAAAGAGUCUAUAACUGAUGGAAUUUUGGAACUCAUAUCUGAAUUGGGGAUACAGAAAUUGGUGAUGGGUGCAGGAUCUAACAGCAGAUUUUUUUGAGGAUAAAACCAAAACCCACCUCAGAACAGUCUAAUGAAGUCCUUAAUAAAGCUCCUGAUUUCUGUCAUAUCUGGUUUGUAUACAAGGGUCGUCUAAUAUAUACAAGGUAUAUUUUGCUUGCUAAAUUUAAUCAAUACAUGUUCAUUCUCUUGGUGACUUGGUGUCACUUCAAAUUGAUAAUUAUUGUGUCUACUAGCUUCAUAUCUCCUAAAUUGAUUAAUUUGUGUGGUAUCAGAAAUUACUAGACACAAGUUUCGUAUCAAGGAGGGUAAUAAGUAUUCUUUUGCAGAAAGGUUUUUAAUUAUUUUCCUGUAUCUCAAAGAAGCAUUACAUUGUUUUCCCUCUGACUAGAAUCAGUUGUCGCAUUAUUCCAACUUGUCAAAACUUGGAACAAAUAUGACAUGAUUUUACAAAAAUUUCAACAGCAGCAUGCCUUUUACGGCUUUACUUGUGAUUUAUAAGAUCGGUUCUAGUGCUUGCAAAAUCAUCAGUGAAAUAAAAUACUGAAUACAGAUACUGAUUUCAGCAACAUGUGGAUAUAGGGAAGCCACGAAGCAACUGAUCACCGCCGUCUAGAAGAAAAUCAGUUGAACAGAUUGAGCUAUUCAGAACAAUCAGUUGAUUCACCAUCAGCUGAGUCAGCUGGUAGCUCAUGACCACUGUCUCAAAACAUGCAGCAUUCUUCACCUGCUACUUAAUUUGCUUUUUUAAUUUUUAUUUUAUUUUAUUUUGCAGGAAUUUUGAAGAUAGAAGGGUGGUGAAAUUUACUAUGGAAGACUUGUCAAGAAAUGAUAAAUGGGCAUGGCGUAAUUUUGGUAAUGGUUAAGGGAAGCGUAGGCCGAAUAAUCGAAUUGUAGAUUCAAAGAUUAUUUUU